rnacentral:rRNA from 1 species
UACGUAGGGUGCAAGCGUUGUCCGGAAUCAUUGGGCGUAAAGCGCGCGUAGGUGGCUUCGUAAGUCCGUUGUGAAAGUCAAAGGCUCAACCUUUGAAUGCCGAUGGAUACUGCGAAGCUAGAGUACGGAAGAGGUGAGUGGAAUUCCCAGUGUAGCGGUGAAAUGCGUAGAUAUUGGGAGGAACACCAGUGGCGAAGGCGGGCUCACUGGACCGGAACUGACGCUGAGGCGCGAAAGCGUGGGGAGCAAACAGGG